CCUACGGGUGGCAGCAGUGAGGAAUAUUGGUCAAUGGACGAGAGCCUGAACCAGCCAAGUAGCGUGAAGGAUGACUGCCCUAUGGGUUGUAAACUUCUUUUAUAUGGGAAUAAAAUGUUCCACGUGUGGGAUUUUGUAUGUACCAUAUGAAUAAGGAUCGGCUAACCCCGUGCCAGCAGCCGCGGUAAUACGGAGGAUCCGAGCGUUAUCCGGAUUUAGUGGGUUUAAAGGGAGCGUAGGUGGAUUGUUAAGUCCGUUGUGAAAGUUUGCGGCUCCACCGUAAAAUUGCAGUUGAAACUGGCAGUCUUGAGUACAGUAGAGGUGGGCGGAAUUCGUGGUGUAGCGGUGAAAUGCUUAGAUAUCACGAAGAACUCCGAUUGCGAAGGCAGCUCACUGGACUGCAACUGACGCUGAGGCUCGAAAGUGUGGGUAUCAAACAGGAUUAGAUACCCCAGUAGUC
rnacentral:rRNA from 1 species